rnacentral:rRNA from 1 species
UAAGUAGAUAGUGAAAUCUGGCGGCUCAACCGUACAGACUAUUAUCUAAACUGGCAAACUCGAGAACGGUAGAGGUAACUGGAAUUUCUUGUGUAGGAGUGAAAUCCGUAGAUAUAAGAAGGAACACCAAUGGCGUAGGCAGGUUGCUGGACCAUUUCUGACACUGAGGCACGAAAGCGUGGGGAGCGAACGGGGAUUAGAUACCCCGGUAGUCCACGCCGUAAACUAUGGAUACUA